UACGGAGGGUCCAAGCGUUAUCCGGAAUCAUUGGGUUUAAAGGGUCCGUAGGCGGUCUUAUAAGUCAGUGGUGAAAUCUCCCCGCUCAACGGGGAAACGGCCAUUGAUACUGUAGGACUUGAAUUAUUAGGAAGUAACUAGAAUAUGUAGUGUAGCGGUGAAAUGCUUAGAGAUUACAUGGAAUACCAAUUGCGAAGGCAGGUUACUACUAAUUGAUUGACGCUGAUGGACGAAAGCGUGGGUAGCGAACAGG
rnacentral:rRNA from 1 species